AGACUGGAAAAGAAUGGCCCAGAUCCUCUGGACUCCUCAGAUGAGCGGAUUCAGAGAGAAGCUUUUGAGAGCGUGCUGGCGGAGACAUUUUUCACAAAAGAGCCCUUGCGGUGCUGGUGUCCGUGGCGUGCCUGGGAAGGCCCACCAACGCUGGCCGGCCUCCAAGCACCCGGGCCUCUGCUCAUGUACAGCUCCUGAACUGC
rnacentral:lncRNA from 1 species